UAUGCACGCUGGCGGCGUGCCUAAUACAUGCAAGUCGAGCGAACGGACGAGAAGCUUGCUUCUCUGAUGUUAGCGGCGGACGGGUGAGUAACACGUGGAUAACCUACCUAUAAGACUGGGAUAACUUCGGGAAACCGGAACUAAUACCGGAUGAUAUUUUGAACCGCAUGGUUCAAAAGUGAAAGACGGUCUUGCUGUCACUUAUAGAUGGAUCCGCGCUGCAUUAGCUAGUUGGUAAGGUAACGGCUUACCAAGGCAACGAUGCAUAGCCGACCUGAGAGGGUGAUCGGCCACACUGGAACUGAGACACGGUCCAGACUCCUACGGGAGGCAGCAGUAGGGAAUCUUCCGCAAUGGGCGAAAGCCUGACGUAGCAACGCCGCGUGAGUGAUGAAGGUCUUCGGAUCGUAAAACUCUGUUAUUAGGGAAGAACAUAUGUGUAAGUAACUGUGCACAUCUUGACGGUACCUAAUCAGAAAGCCACGGCUAACUACGUG
rnacentral:rRNA from 1 species